UCAGACGAUGCGUCAUGCAUAUCAAUAAGCGGAGGAAAAGAAACUAACUAGGAUUCCCUCAGUAACGGCGAGUGAAGCGGGAAGAGCUCAAAUUUGAAAUCUUCAAGGUUCUACCUUGACGAAUUGUAGUUUAAAGAAGUGUUUUCUGUUGGAGUUUUGGUAAAAGUUCUUUGGAAUAGGACAUCAUAGAGGGUGAGAAUCCCGUAUUUGACCAUUAUUUCCAGCUUUGUGAUACACUUUCAAAGAGUCGGAUUGUUUGGGAAUGCAGUCCAAAAUGGGUGGUAAAUUUCAUCUAAAGCUAAAUAUUGGCGAGAGACCGAUAGCGAACAAGUACCGUGAGGGAAAGAUGAAAAGAACUUUGAAAAGAGAGUUAAACAGUACGUGAAAUUGUCAAAAGGGAAGCGUUUGACACCAGUGUUGGUUUUCUCGAAAAUCAAUUAAAAAAGGCAGGAUUUUGUGUUGUAUUGACUUUAUCAGCUUUCUGCACUCUUUUCUUGUCUUUUUUUAAUGCACUUUUCGUUUAACAAGUCAACAUCAAUUUCUUUUGUUGUAAAAGGGUCAUUGGAAGGUGGCUUUCUUUUCGGAGAAAGUGUUUAUAGCCUUUGGCCUCUGCAAUCGGAGAGAUUGAGGUCUGCAGCGUAGAUCCUUCGGGGUUAGAUACAUUUGUGCUAAGUUAUAGCCUUUCAUAGACAACUUGUUGACUAUGAUCAGUCAUGUAGCUUACUCGCUUAUGCUAUUUUACCUACGCUUAGGAUGUUGAUCUACAGAGCGAGAGU
rnacentral:rRNA from 1 species